GCCACGCCCGCUCAAGAAACUCAAAUGAAUUGACGGGACCCCGCACAAGCGGUGGAUCAUGUUGUUUAAUUCGAUGAUACGCGAAGAACCUUACCAGGUCUUGACAUCCCCCGCGAUGCUUUAGAGAUAAAGCGGAGGGUAUUCGGGGAGACAGGUGGUGCAUGGUUGUCGUCAGCUCGUGUCGUGAGAUGUUGGGUUAAGUCCCGCAACGAGCGCAACCCCUAUUGCUAGUUACCAUCAUUAAGUUGGGGACUCUAGCGAGACUGCCAGUGAUAAACUGGAGGAAGGUGGGGAUGACGUCAAAUCAUCAUGCCCCUUAUGACCUGGGCUACAAACGUGAUACAAUGGCUGGAACAAAGGGAUGCGAAGCAGUGAUGUGGAGCGAAACCCAUAAAAACAGUCUCAGUUCGGAUUGAAGUCUGCAACUCGACUUCAUGAAGUCGGAAUCGCUAGUAAUCGCGGAUCAGAACGCCGCGGUGAAUACGUUCUCGGGGUUU
rnacentral:rRNA from 1 species